rnacentral:lncRNA from 1 species
GGUUUCACUGUGUUAGCCAGGAUGGUCUCGAUCUCCUGACCUCAUGAUCCACCCGCCUCGGCCUCCCAAAGUGCUGGGAUUACAGGCAUGAGCCACUGCGCCCAGCCUCACAAAAUAUUCUUAAAAAUUGAAGAGGGAACACUCAGUUUAUGAAGCCAGUAUUAUCUGAUACCAAAACCAAACAUCACAAGAAAACUACAGACCAGUAUCUCUUAUGAAUAUGAACAGACAAAUCCAACAAAAUACUAAAAUGAAAUCCAGCAACAUAUAAAAAGAAUUGGACACUAAGACCAAGUGGAAUUUAUUCCAGGAAUCCAAGAUUGGUUUAAUAUUUGAAAAUUAAUAUAUGCCAUAUCAAUAGAAUAAAAAAGCCCACAUGAUUAUCUUUAUAGCAGCAGGAGGCAGGUAGAGGCAGGUCCCUGGUGUAACGCGACCUUCAAAUCAAAGACAGGUUAAAGCCUGAAUGUUGGAUUGAGAGGGAUCAUGGCGGAUGGGAGGUAGGACUAGAUUGCAGCUCUGACUCAGAGCAGCAUGUGGAGACUUGCAUCAUGAAUUUUUCCUCCAGAACAACUGCAAGAACAAAUCAAGAAACCUGAGAGGACCCACAGACCCCUUGAAGGAAGCGAUUGCUCCUGCAGGACCCAGGAGAGAACCUAAAUACUCAGCCACAGCAAGACCCGCCCGAGGAGAGCUUGAGCUCAGAUAUGCCUAGCCCUGCCCCCACCCAAUAGUCCUUCCCUACCCACCCUGGUAACUGAAGACAAAGGGCAUAUACUCUUGGGAGUUCUAGGGCCCCACCCACUGCCUGUUCCUCCCCAUACUACCACAGCUGAUGCUGUCUGGAAAGUGCCACCUCUUGGCAGGAGGCCAACCAGCACAAAAUAGUGCAUUAAACCGCCAAAGCUAAGAGCCCUCACAGAGUCCAUUUCACCCCCCUGCCACCUCCACUGGAACAGAUUCUGAUAUACAUGGCUGAGAGACCCACAGACAGUUAACAUCACAGGACUCUGUGCAGACAACCCCCAGUAUCAGCCUGGAGCCUGGUUGACUUGCUGGGUGGCUAGAUCCAGAAAACAGAUAACAAUCACUAUAGCUUGGUUCUCAGGAAACCACAUCAUUAGGAAAAGGGGGAGAGUACUACAUCAAGGGAAUAUCCCAUGGGACAAAAGAAUCUGAACAACAGCCUUCAGCUCUAGACCUUCCCUCUGAGAGAGGCUACCCAAGUGAGAAGGAACCAGAAAACCAACUCCGGUAAUAUGACAAAACAAGGUUCUUUAACACCCCCCAGAAUCACACUAGCUCACCAGCAAUGGGCCCAAACGAAGAAGAAAUCCCUGAUUUACCCAAAAAAGAAUUCAGGAGGUUUGUUAUAAAGCUAAUCAGUGAGGUACCAGAGAAAGGCAAAGCCCAAUCUAAGGAAAUCCAAAAACUGAUAUAAGAAGUGAAGGGAGAAAUAUUCAAGGAAAUAGAUAGCAUAAAUAAAAAACAAUCAAAGCUACAGGAAACAAUGGACACAUUUAUAGAAAUGCAAAAUGCUCUGGAAAGUCUCAGCAGUAGAAUUAAACAAGUAGAAGAAAGAAAUUCAGAGCUCAAAGACAAGAUCUUUGAAUUAACCCAAUCCAACAGAGACAAAGAAAAAAGAAUAAGAAAAUAUGAACAAAACCUCCAAGAAGUCUGGGAUUAUGUUAAAAGACCAAACCUAAGAAUAAUCAGUGUUCCCGAAGAAGAAGAGAAAUCUAAAAGUUUGGAAAACAUAUUUGGGGGAAUAAUCAAGGAAAUGUCUCCAGCCUUGCUAAAGACCUAGACAUCCAAAUACAAGAAGCACAAAGAACACCUGGGAAAUGAAUCACAAAAAUAUCAUUGCCUAAGCACAAUGUAAUCAGGUUAUCUAAAGUUAAGGCGAAGGAAAGAAUCUUAAGAGCUGUGAGACAAAAGCACCAGGUAACCUAUAAAGGAAAACCUAUUAUAUUAAUAGCAGAUUUCUCAGCAGAAACCCUACAAGCUAGAAGGGAUUGGGGCACUAUCUUCAGUCUCCUCAAACAAAACAAUUAUCAGCCAAGAAUUUUGUAUUCAGCAAAAGUAAACUUCAUAUAUGAAGGAAAGACACAGUCUUUUUCAGACAAAUGCUGAGAGUAUUUGCCUGUACCAAGCCACCACUACAAGAACUGCUAAAAGGAACUCUAAAUCUUGAACCAAAUCCUGGAAAAACAUCAAAACGGAACGUCUUUAAAGCAUAAAUCUCACAAGACCUAUAAAACAAAAAUAUAAUUUAAAAAACAAAAACAAAAACAAUAAGCCAAGGUAUACAGCAACAUAUAGCAUAAUGAAUGGAAUGGUGCCUCACAUCUCAAUACUAACAUUGAAUAUAAAUGGCCUAAAUGCUCCACUUAAAAGAACUUGCAGAAACUUAAGGUACACAGGUGGAAAAGACAUUUCAUGCAAAUGGACACCAAAAGUUAGCAGGAGUAGCUAUUCAUAUAACAGACAAAACAAACUUUAAAGCAACAGCAGUUUAAAAAGACAAAGAGGGACAUUAUAUAAUGAUAAAAGGCCUUGCCCAACAGGAAAAUAUCACAAUCCUAAACAUAUAUGCACCUAACACUGGAGCUCCCAAAUUUAUAAAGCAAUUACUAAUAGACCUAAGAAAUGAGAUAGACAGCAACACAAUAAUAGUGGGGGACAGGCUGGGCAUGGUGGCUCACGCCUGUAAUCCCAGCACUUUGGGAGGCCGGGGAAGGCAGAUCAUGAGGUCAGGAGAUCGAGACCAUGGUGAAACCCCAUCUCUACUAAAAAUACAAAAAAAUUAACCAGGUGCAGUUGCGGGCGCCUGUAGUCCCAGCUACUCGGGAGGCUGAGGCAGGAGAAUGGUGUGAACCCGGGAAGCAGAGCUUGCAGUGAGCCAAGAUUGCACCACUGCACUCCAGCCUGGGUGACAGAGUGAGACUCCGUCUCAAAAAAAUAAUAUAAUAAUAGUGGGGGACUUUAAUACCCCACUGACAGCACUGAACAGGUCAUCAAGACAGAAAGUCUACAAAGAAACAGUGGAUUUAAACUAUACCCUGGAACAAAUGGACUUAACAGAUAUAUACAGAACAUUUCAUCCAGCAACCAAAAAAUAUACAUUCUAUUCAGCACGUGGAACUUUCUCCAAGAUAGACCAUAUGACAGGUCGCAAAAUGAGCCUCAAUAAAUUUAAGAAAAUUGAAAUUAUAUCAAGCACUCUCUCAGACCACAGUGGAAUAAAAAUGGAAAUCAAUUCCAAAAGGAACCUUCAAAACCAUGCAAAUACAUGGAAUUAAAUAAUUUGCUCCUGAAUGAUCAUUGGGUCAAAAAUGAAAUCAAGAUGGAAAUUUAAAAAAUUCUUCAACUGAACGACGAUAGUGACACAACCUAUCAAAACCACUGGGACACAGCAAAGAUGGUGCUAAGAGGAAAGUUCAUAGCCCUGAACACCUACAUCAAAAAGUCUGAAAGAGCACAAACAGACAAUCUGAGGUCUCACCUCAAGGAACUAGAGAAACAAGAACAAACCAAACCCAAACCCAGCAGAAGAAAGGAAAUAACUAAGAUCAGAGCAGAACUAAAUGAAAUUGAAACAAACAAACAAAAACAAUACAAAAGAUAAAUGAAACAAAAAGCUGGUUCUUUGAAAAGGUAAAUAAAAUUGAUAGACCAUUAGCAAGAUUAACCAAGAGAAGAAGAGAGAAAAUCCAAAUAAGCUCAAUAAGAAACAAAAUGGGAGAUAUUACAACUGACACCACAGGAAUACAAAAGAUUACUCAAGGCUACUAUGAACACCUUUACACGCAUAAACUAGAAAACGUAGAAGAGAUGGAUAAAUUCCUGGAAAGAUAUAACCCUCCUAGCUUUAAUCAGGAAGAAUUAGAUAUCCUGAAUAGACCAAUAACAAGCAGUGAGAUUGAAAUGGUAAUUUAAAAGUUACCAAGAAAAAAAGUCCAGGACCAAAUGGAUUCACAGCAGAAUUCUACCAGAUAUUCAAAGAAGAAUUGGUAUCAAGCCUAUUGAAACUAUUCCACAAGAUAAAGAGAUAACCCUCCCUAAAUCAUUCAAUGAAGCCAGUAUCACCCUCAUACCAAAACCAGGAAAGGACAUAACCAAAAAAGAAAACUACAGACCAAUAUCCCUGAUGAACACAGAUGUUAAAAUCCUUAACAAAAUACUCACUAACUGAAUCCAACAACAUAUCAAAAAGAUAAUCCACCAUGAUCAAAUGGGUUUCAUGCCAGGGAUGCAGAGACAGUUUAACAUACACAAGUCAGUAAAUGUGAUACACCACAUAAACAAUUAAAAACAAAAAUCACAUGAUCAUCUCAAAAGAUGCAGAAAAAGCAUUCAACAAAAUCCAGCAUCGCUUUAUGAUUAAAACUCUCAGGAAAAUUGGCAUACAAGGGACAUCUAUGAAAAACCCACAGCCAACAUAAUACUGAAUGGGGAAAAGUUGAAAGCAUCCCCUCUGAGAACUGGAACAAGACAAGGAUGCCCACUCUCACCACUCCUCUUCAACGUAGUACUGGAAGUCCUAGCCAGAGCAAUCAGCCAACAGAAAGAAAGAAAGGUCAUCCAAAUCGAUAAAGAGGAAGUCAAACUGUUGCUUUUUGUUGAUGAUAGGAUCGUUUACCCAGAAAACUCUAAAGACUCCUCCAGAAGGCUCCUAGAACUGAUAAAAGAAUUCGGCAAUAUUUCCAGAUACAAAAUGUAUGUACACAAAUCAGCAGCUCUUCUAUACACCAACAGCAACCAAGCUGAGAAUCACAUCAAGAACUCAACCCCCUUUACAAUAGCUGAAAAAAAAAUUUAGGAAUAUACCUAAAUGAGGUGAAAGACGUCUACAAGGAAAACUAUAAAACACUGCUGAAAGAAAUAAUAGAUGACACAAACAAAUGGAAACACAUCCCAUGCUCAUGGAUGGGUCGAAUACAUAUUGUGAAAAUGACAAUACUGCUAAAAGCAAUCUACAAAUUCAACACAAUUCCCAUCAAAAUAUCACCAUCAUUCUUAACAGAAUUAGAAAAAACAAUUCUAAAAUUCACAUGGAACAAAAAAAAAAAAAAGCCCGCAUAGCCAAAGCCAGAGUAAGCAAAAAGAACAAAUCUGGAAGCAUCACAUUACCUGAUUUCAAACUAUACUAUAAGGCCAUAGUCACCAAAACAGAAUGGCACUGGCAUAAAAAUAAGCACACAGACCAAUGGAACAGAACAGAGAACCCAGAAAUAACCCAAAUGCUUACAGCCAACUGAUCUUCAACAAAGCAAACAAAAACAUAAAGUGGAGAAAGGACACCCUUUUCAACAAAUGGUGUGGGGUAAUUGGCUAGCCACAUGUAGGAGAAUGAAACUGGAUCCUCAUCUUUCACUUUAUACAAAAAUCAACCCAAGAUUGAUUAAGGACUUAAAUCUAAGACCUGAAACUAUAAAAAUUCUAGAAGAUAACAUUAGAAAAACCCUUCUAGACACUGGCUUAGGCAAGGACUUCAUGACCAAGAGCAAAUGCACUAAAAACAAAUAUAAAUUGCUGGGACUUCAUUAAACUGAAGAGCUUUUGCAUGGCAAAAGAAUAGCAGCGUAAACAGCCCACAGAGUGGGAAAAAAAUCUCCACAACCUAUACAUCUGACAAAGGACUAAUAUCCAGAAUCUACAAUGAACUCAAACAAAUCAACAAGAAAAAAAAAUCCCAUCAAAAAGUGGACUAAGGACAAUUCUCAAAAGAAGACAUACAAAUGGCCAACAAAUAUAUGAAAAAAUGCUCAACAUCACUAAUGAUCAGGGAAAUGCAAAUCAAAACCACAAUGUGAUACCACCUUACUCCUGCAAGAAUGGCCAUAAUCAAAAAAUAGUAGAUGUUGACAUGGAUGUGGUGAUCAGGGAAUACUUCUACACUGCUGGUGGGAAUGUCAACUAGUACAAUCACUAUGGAAAACAAUGUGGAGAUUCCUUAAAGAACUAAAAGUAGAACUACCAGCAAUUGAUCCAGCAAUCCCACUACUGGAUAUCUACCCAGAGGAAAAGAAGUGAUUUUAUGAAAAAGAUACUUGCACAUGCAUGUUUAUAGCAGCACAAUUCGCAACUGAAAAAAAUGUUGAAGCAACCCAAAUGCCCAUCAAACAACGAGUGGAUAAAGAAAUCGUGAUGUAUAUAUAUAUGAAUACUGUAUAGCCACAAAAAAGGAGUGAAUUAAUGGCAUUCGCAGCAACCUGGAUGAGAUUGUAGACUAUUAUUCUAAGUGAAGUAACCCAGGUAUGGAAAGCCAAACAUUGCAUGUUCUCACUCAUAAUUGGGAGCUAAGCUAUGAGGACGCAAAGGCAUAAGAAUAAUAUAAUGGACUUUGGAGACUGAUAGAAUUUGGCUGUGUCCCCACCCAAAUCUCAUCUUGAAUUCCCAUAUGUUGUGGGAAGGACCCAGCAGGAGGUAACUGAAUCACGGGGCAGGUCUUUCCUGUACUGUUCUCAUGAUAGUAUAUCUCAUGAGAUUUGAUGGUUAUUAUAUGGGGGAAGUUUUCCUGCACAAGCUUUCAUUCUCUGUUUGCCUGCUGCCAUCCACAUAAGAUGUGACUUGCUCUUCCUUGCCUUCCACCAUGAUUGUGAAGCUUCCCCAGCCAUGUAAAACUGAGUUCUCCAUUAAACCUCUUCCCUUUGUAAAGCCUUUCCUUUGCCCAGUCUUUCCUUUGCCCAGUCUUGGGUAUGUCUUUAUCAGCAAUGUAAAAAUUGACUAAUACAGUAGAUUGGUAUUCAGUAGAGUGGGGUGCAACUUAAAAGAUACCCAAAAAUGUGGAAGCAACUUUGGAACUGAGUAACAGGCUGAGGUUGGAACAGUUUGGAGGGCUCAGAAGAGACAGAAAAUUGUGGGAAAGUUUGGAACUUCCUGGAGAUUUGUUGAAUGGCUUUGACCAAAAGCCUGAUAGCGAUAUGAACAAUAAGGUCCAGGCUGAGGUGGUCUCAGAUGGAGAUGAGGAACUUGUUGGGAACUGGAACAAAGGUGACUCUUACGUUUUAGCAAAGAGACUGGUGGCAUUUUUCCCCUGUUGUAGAGAUAUCUGGAACUUGGAGCUUGAGAGAGAUGAUUCAGGGUAUCUUGCAGAAGAAAUUUCUAAGCAGCAAAGCAUUCAAGAUGUGACUUGGGUGCUGUUAACGGCACUCAGUUUGAUAAGGGAAACAGAGCAUAAAAGUUCAAAAAAUUUGCAGCCUGACAAUGUGGUAGAAAAGAAAAACCCACUUUCUGAGGAGAAAUUGAAGCCGGCUGCAUAAAUUUGCAUAAAUAACAAGGAGCUGAAUAUUAAUCCUCUAGACAGUGGGGAAAAUGUCUCCAGGGCAUGUUAGAGGUCUUCACAGCAGCCCCUCCUAUCACAGUCCUGGAAGCCUGGGAGAAAACAGUUUCAUGGGCCAGGCCCAGGGUCCCUGUGUUGUGUGCAGUCUAGGGGCUUGGUUCUCUGCAUCCCAGCCACUCCAGCUGUGACUGGAAGGAGCCAAGGUGCAGCUUGGGCUGUUACCCAAGGGUGGCGGCCCCAAGCCUUGGCAGCUUCCACGUGGUGUUGAGCCUGUAGGUGCACAGAAGUCAAGAAUUAAAGUUUGGAAACCUCCACCUAGAUUCCAGAAGAUGUAUGGAAAUGCCUGGAUGCCCAAGCAAAAGUCUGCUGCAGGGGUGGGGCCCUCACGGAGAAUCUCUGCUGGGGCAGUGCAGAAGGGAAAUGUGGGGUUGGAGCCCCCACACAGAGUUCCUCCUGGGGCACUGCCUAGUGGAGCAGUGAGAAGAGGGUCACAAUCCUCCAGACUCCAGAAUGGUAGAUCCACAGACAGCUUGCACUGUGGGCCUGGAAAAGCUGCCGACACUCAAUGCCAUCCCAUGAAAGCAGCCAGGAGGGAGGCUGUACCCUGCAAAGCCACAGGGGCUGAGCUGCCCAAGACCAUGGGAAUCCACCUCUUGCCUCAGUGUGAUCUGGAUGUGAGACAUGGAGUCAAAGGAGAUCAUUUUGGAGCUUUAAGAUUUGACUGCCCCACUGGAUUUCAGAUUUGCAUGGGGUCUGUAGCCCCAGCAUUUUGGCCAAUGUCUCCUAUUUAGAAUGGCUGUAUUUAUCCAAUGCCUGUAGCCCUACUCUAUCUACGAAGUAACUAACUUGCUUUUGAUUUUGCAGGCUUAUAGGCAGAAGGGACUUGCCUUGUCUCAGAUGAGACUUUGGACUGUGGGCUUUUGAGUUAAUGCUGAAGUAAGACUUUGGGGGACUGUUGGGAAGGCAUGAUUGGUUUUGAAAUGUGAGGACAUGAGAUUUGGGAGGGGCCAGGGGUGGAAUGAUAUGGUCUGCCUGUGUCCCCACCCAAAUCUCAUCUUGUAUUCCCAUGUGUUGUGGGAGGGACUUGGUGGGCAGUAACUGCAUCAUGGGGGCAGGUCUUUCCUGUGUUGUUCUCAUAAUAGUAAGUCUCACAAAAUCUGAUGGUUAGUAUAAGGGAGAGUUUUCCUGCACAAGCUCUCACUCUGUCGUUGCCUGCUGCCAUCCACAUAAGAUGUGACUUGCUCCUUCUUGCCUUCUGCCAUGAUUGUGAGGCUUCCCCAGCCACGUGGAACUGUGAAUUCUCCAUUAAACCUCUUUCCUUUGUAUGUUGCCCAGUCUCAGGUAUGUCUUUAUCAGAAGUGUGAAAAUGGACUAAUACAAGGACUUGGGGAAAGGGUGGGAAGGGAGUGAGGGAUAAAAUACUAU